CGGGAAUCUCCAAGCUUGGACCNGAGGGGGAGGUACCUGCAAUGGCACUCCGACGCCCAAGUUAGGGUUUUGUAUGGAAGAGCCUUGAAUGCAAGGCUAAAGAUUCUCAGUAUGAGAAUGUAGAGUGAAAUCACUCAGCUAAUUCAGAGCGAAUUAGGUAAAACGUAGCAAGUGUACUGUAAGAUAGCAUAAGAGAGCGUAA
rnacentral:lncRNA from 1 species